UCGAGAAUCUUCCGCAAUGGACGAAAGUCUGACGGAGCGACGCCGCGUGCGGGAUGAAGGCCCUUGGGUUGUAAACCGCUGUCAGAGGGGAUGAAAUCUUCGGAGGUACUCCUCCGAAGUUGACAGAGCCUCAAAGGAAGCACGGGCUAAGUACGUGCCAGCAGCCGCGGUAACACGUACUGUGCGAACGUUAUUCGGAAUCACUGGGCUUAAAGGGUGCGUAGGCUGCGAUGCAAGUCAGGUGUGAAAUGCCGGAGCUCAACUGCGGCAUUGCGCUUGAAACUGUGUUGCUUGAGUAUUUCAGGGGUGUGGGGAACUGCCAGUGGAGCGGUGAAAUGUGUUGAUAUUGGCAGGAACACCGGAGGCGAAAGCGCCACACUGGGGAAUAACUGACGCUGAG
rnacentral:rRNA from 1 species